rnacentral:lncRNA from 1 species
CACCCUCUCUUUGUUUUUCCUGCACAGCACAAUACAGCAUUGUUGAUUGCCAGCUGGAAACCAGAGUACAAACCAGUUCUACUCCAGGGCCAGAUUCUGCCACUUUUAUUCAUGCUGAGUGGUACGUUAUCCUGCAGACAAUCCCACUGGAAUACGUGAGUGAAAUACUAGAUGUACUGAAGUCAAUGGCAAAACUCCCACAGACUUCAUCCAGGAUUUCACCAAUGGUCCUUUCUGUAAAUGAAUGUAAUGCUGAUGGAAGGUGUCAGACUGGUA